ACUUGAAUAGCUUACUUUAAUUUAGAGCGUGACACUGAAGAUGUCGAUGAGGUGUUUUCGCCUUUAAGUA
rnacentral:tRNA from 1 species